GGGGGAGAUGGUGGUGGAGAUAGGAUGGGGAGAGGGUUUGACUCUCCAGGCUGGGGAGGGGAGUGGUGGUUGGGGCCUGGGGGUAGGGCGUAGGGGGUAGAGGUUGGGACUAUUUUUAGUGCCUGAACUGCUAUAUGUGAAAUAUAUGCUAUCUAUAUA